CAUGCAAGUCGUGCGAGAAAGUAUCUUCGGAUAUGAGUAGAGCGGCGGACGGGUGAGUAACGCGUAGGAAUCUACCUAGUAGAAGGGGAUAGCCCGAGGAAACUCGGAUUAAUACCGUAUACCUCCUUCGGGAGAAAGAAGGCCUCUCUUUGAAGCUUUCGCUACUAGAUGAGCCUGCGUAAGAUUAGCUUGUUGGUGAGGUAAAGGCUCACCAAGGCUACGAUCUUUAGCGGGUCUGAGAGGACGAUCCGCCACAUUGGGACUGAGACACGGCCCAGACUCCUACGGGAGGCAGCAGUGGGGAAUAUUGGACAAUGGGCGAAAGCCUGAUCCAGCCAUACCGCGUGUGUGAAGAAGGCCCUAGGGUUGUAAAGCACUUUAAGUUGGGAAGAAAAGUUAUUGGUUAAUACCCAAUGACCGUGACAUUACCAUCAGAAUAAGGACCGGCUAAUUCCGUGCCAGCAGCCGCGGUAAUACGGAAGGUCCAAGCGUUAAUCGGAAUUACUGGGCGUAAAGCGCGCGUAGGUGGUUUAUUAAGUUGGGUGUGAAAUCCCCGGGCUCAACCUGGGAACUGCAUCCAAAACUGAUUCACUAGAGUACGAUAGAGGGAGGUAGAAUUCACAGUGUAGCGGUGGAAUGCGUAGAUAUUGUGAAGAAUACCAAUGGCGAAGGCAGCCUCCUGGAUCUGUACUGACACUGAGGUGCGAAAGCGUGGGUAGCGAACGGGAUUAGAUACCCUGGUAGUCCACGCCGUAAACGAUGUCAACUAUCUGUUGGAAAGCAUUGCUUUUCAGUGGAGCAGCUAACGUAAUAAGU
rnacentral:rRNA from 1 species